GGGGAUGUAGCUCAGUGGGAGAGCGCAUGCUUUGCAUGUAUGAGGCCCUGGGUUCAAUCCCCGGCAUCUCCA
rnacentral:tRNA from 1 species